rnacentral:rRNA from 1 species
UACGUAGGGUGCGAGCGUUGUCCGGAAUUAUUGGGCGUAAAGGGCGCGUAGGCGGCCCGCUAAGUCGAACGUGAAAUCCCCAGGCUUAACCUGGGAACUGCGUCCGAUACUGGCAGGCUUGAAUCCGGGAGAGGGAUGUGGAAUUCCAGGUGUAGCGGUGAAAUGCGUAGAUAUCUGGAGGAACACCGGUGGCGAAGGCGGCAUCCUGGACCAACACUGACGCUGAGUAAGCGAAAGCCAGGGGAGCAAACGGG